rnacentral:rRNA from 1 species
CCUGACCGGCAUGUAACGGUGCCCUUCCUUCGGGACAGGGGAGACAGGUGGUGCAUGGUUGUCGUCAGCUCGUGUCGUGAGAUGUUGGGUUAAGUCCCGCAACGAGCGCAACCCUUGUUCUCAGUAGCCAUCACGUCAAGGUGGGCACUCUGGGGAGACUGCGGGGGAUAACCCGGAGGAAGGUGGGGAUGACGUCAAAUCAUCAUGCCCCUUAUGAUUUGGGCUACACACGUGCUACAAUGGCGUAAACAGAGGGAAGCAAGCCCGCGAGGGGGAGCGAAUCCCAAAAAUAACGUCCCAGUUCGGAUUGCAGUCUGCAACUCGACUGCAUGAAGCUGGAAUCGCUAGUAAUCGCGGAUCAGAAUGCCGCGGUGAAUACGUUCCCGGGUCUUGUACACACCGCCCGUCACACCAUGGGAGUUGGUAACGCCCGAAGCCAGUGACCCAACUGAAAAGAGGGAGCUGUCGAAGGCGGGACCGAUAACUGGGGUGAAGUCGUAACAAGGUAGCCGUAUCGGAAGGUGC